rnacentral:rRNA from 1 species
GACGAACGCUGGCGGCGUGCUUAACACAUGCAAGUCGAACGAGAAUCUAUGGAAAGAGGAUUCGUCCAAUUGAAAUAGAGGACAGUGGCGGACGGGUGAGUAACGCGUGAGGAACCUGCCUUUCAGAGGGGGACAACAGUUGGAAACGACUGCUAAUACCGCAUAACGCAUAGAGGUCGCAUGGUCUGAUGUCAAAGAUUUAUCGCUGAAAGAUGGCCUCGCGUCUGAUUAGCUAGUUGGUGAGGUAACGGCCCACCAAGGCGACGAUCAGUAGCCGGACUGAGAGGUUGAACGGCCACAUUGGGACUGAGAUACGGCCCAGACUCCUACGGGAGGCAGCAGUGGGGAAUAUUGGGCAAUGGGCGCAAGCCUGACCCAGCAACGCCGCGUGAAGGAAGAAGGCUUUCGGGUUGUAAACUUCUUUUGUCAGGGACGAGUAGAAGACGGUACCUGACGAAUAAG